GGAUAAAUUAAUAUAAAUAAAUUAAAUAUAUUUACACUAUUUUGUCUACUCCAUUUCUAUUUCUACUUUUGCCUUAUUACUAUCAAUCCUAUGUAGGAACACUUUUCCUUUUGUCUUUGCAAAGCAAAGGAAAAGUAGUAUGCUCCUCUCCCUCCCUAAAGGAGGGUCCUAGGGCUAAAUAUAACUGCAAAGGUGUAUAUUAAAUAUGGAAAAACAAAAAAAGUAAAAUAACUUAUUUAUAAAUAACUAUCACUCAAUCCAGUCUUAAAUAAAAAAAAAGAAAAAACAAUAUAAUAAAAAUAAUAAUACAAAUUACUAUUUAUAUAAAUAAAUACUUUCUCCUUAUUAUUUAAAUAGAGGGAUUGGCUAUGCAAGAACUGGUA
rnacentral:rRNA from 1 species